rnacentral:lncRNA from 1 species
AUGGGUCUGAGUACGCCCACCACCCGUGCCCCCAGACCCAUCACUCCACGAUCCCACCCAGGACGCCCCGGACCCACGGCUACGGCGCCCCCCGACAGCCAUCAGCCAAUCAGGGCGCGUUAUGCCGCUGACUCAGCAGUUGCCAGGCAGACCCCCAGAUCCCAGCGCUCCCCACCCGGAUCCCACCUGGAUCCCACCUGUGUCCCCCCUCGCCCCCGGCGCUCCCGGGAGGGGAACGUGGGCAGGGGGGAGGUGNGGGUGCAGGGCGCUGUCCCGCCCCAGGCGCGGCCAGGCCGGACCGAGCGGCGGCCGAGAGGCGAGCGGGAGGCGCGGCUGCCUCGUCACCAAAAUGUGGUGUGGUUUGGUGUGGACACCAAAGAGAAGCGUCGGUGGAUGGAAUGUUGUGUGUCGGGCACUGGAACGUUGAGAGCUCUGGAAGGAGCCAAAGCAGCCAAAGUCAAAAGGCUGGAGAGCUCAAGGGAGGACAAACCUUUUCAGUGCGGGCCGCGGUGAGUCUGUGGGUGCAAUGCAGGGACAGGUCCUUGAGGCAUCUCCUAAAGCUGGCACAGCCCCAGGCGAUGGGAUCUGUGAGGAGGGGGCUGUUGGGGGGCACUUGGGAUUAGCUGUGCAGCCAGGGGGUUCGGGUGCAGCUGGGGCGCUCAGGACUGUCCCGCUGGGCUUCAGGGCUCUGUGUGCCAGGGCAGGGACUCUGCUGCCUGCCAGGAGCUCAGCCAGACCGGGGAGCUGCUCACAGCACUGGGGGACAAGAUCUGGGUGCUGAUGCCUAUAAAACUUAGGUCAAAGUUACAAGGUGCUUAUACAGCUUGAGUUAUAAGAUAUCAAUAUAACCUAAUACAUCUAAAUAACCUGAUAUCCAUAUAACCUAAAUCAUGACUUUAUAUAUAUAUAUUUAUAUAUAUGUAUAAAUCUGAUACCUACAUAACCUGAAUCAUAGCUUUUUAUACCUAUAUAACCUGAAUCAUAAUUUUUUAUACCUAUAUAACCUGAUACAAAUAACCUUUUAUACAAUGUAGUGGCUAGUAUUGUAAGAGACACUUUCGGGGUGCUGGAUGGUCUGAAACACGGCAGAGACCUCUAUAGUCGAGUGAGAUGUUAGUUUAUUUCAGGGUGUGGGAGAGAGAGAGAACAAUACAAAAUACAAAAUAUUGUUCGGAGAGAACAAUACAAAAGGGGGUAAAAUAUGAAUACAUGAGUUCAAGACUUAAGAUUGCUAAGAAAGAGAGUAACAGAACAGAAGUGAGAGAUCUGGGAAAAAAAAGAGGGCGAGCUCUUCUUUACAAUUACUUAUAUACCCUAUACCUUUGAAUAUUCUAUUCCUUUACUAACCAAUCUUCAUAAGUAUACUAAUAGAGUAACAUUUGUGUGUGACCUAUAGAAAUCGCUGAGGUACAGCUUUCCUAAACUGCCUACCACAUAUUCCCCCUUGAACAUGUGUCACCAUUGUCCCCCAAUGUCUAGAAGUUCAGGCUGUCCGAGUUCUGCAAUAGACUGU